UUAUAUCUACCCAUCUUCCUUCCUGUGUGAGAUUCUGUUCUAUUAGGACCUUAGGCAGAGUGCUGCGGCUGCUAACUUCCAAUCAUGAAAGAAGGGCCAAGAGAAUCACAGAGAUGCUUCACCAGCCACUGAUCCACCAGCCACGGAACCACUGGCCACCAGAAUUUUUAUGACCUUGAAGGCGCCAUGCUCCAGAUGGUGAAGCUAAAGAUGGAAGAAACUUUGAUUCUCCAGUCACCAUUUGGAAGAGAGCUUCUUUGGACAGCUGCCCAAAUUGCAUCAGACUCUUGAACAUGUGUCAUUGCAUUUUGGGAAAGAUUCAUUUUUGCUUAGUGGAGACAUAGCAAGAAACUGGAGCCUCAAUCUGGUGAUCUGCAAGAAAGACAUCGUACCAGAAAUAAUCACCAUGUUUACAUUGGUUAUGUCCAUCAGGACAUUAAACAAUUGUUGUUCCUAAAUAGGCCAGAGAAGAGAAACAAAAAAUCUAAUGAGCAUCAUUAUUGAAGUGGCUUCAAUCUCAGAACCCAAAUUACAAUUAUUAUUUGCCUCUAAGGCUUCUGAUUAUAUAGGAAUUCUUCAAUAACAAUUUAUCUCUUCCAGAAAUUUGUUCUUCAUUCUUAAAAUAGAAGCCUAACUCUUCCAUGAAUAUAAUGAUGAAAGAUGAGAGCAUGCAGCCUAAUCCAUUUGUAUGAAUGAGUUGGUUUGAUUUCCUUUUUGGCAACUCCAAACCCAAAGCAUUAGGAAUAAAUGUGUUCAUUCAACAAAAAAUGCGUCUUAUUUGAUUGAAUAAUGCUCUGAUCCAAGCAAAAAAGUCUGAAAAAGUGGAAAGGAUUUGUGAGGAAGCUAAUGAGAUAUUCAUAUUGUAAUAGAAAUAAAGCCACUCACUGGAAUUUUUUGGAGACAUAUUUAAUUCUCAUCUGGAAUGUAAGAACAGCACACAGCUCUUUCCCACUGACACAUAGUUUCUAAACAGUUCUAGUUAUUCCCUGGUCCUACAACCAAUUGUUUAUUUAGCCUUUGGUAUUGGUAAUGCCUGUGUCUGUUAAGAUUUUUUGGUUAUCAUCAACAAAAAUUGACAUUUAAUA